rnacentral:rRNA from 1 species
UAGAGUUUGAUCCUGGCUCAGGAUAACGCUGGCGGCGUGCGUAACACAUGCAAGUUGGGCGACGGAGUCUUGACUGGCGACAGGAAUGGACUUACGGAGCAGCGGACUGGUGAGUAAUAUAUGAGAAGCUGUCCUGCAAAGGGGGACAACAUUUGGAAACGAAUGCUAAUACCCCAUAGGCUGAAAGGUUAAAGCAGUAAUGCGUUGCAGGAGGUGCUCGUAUCCUAUCAAUUAGUUGGCGGGGUAACGGCCCACCAAGAUAACGACGGGUAGCCGGCCUGAGAGGGUGUCCGGCCACACUGGGACUGAGAUACGGCCCAGACUCCUGCGGGAGGCAGCAGUGGGGAAUAUUGGGCAAUGGGAGAAAUCCUGACCCAGCGACGCCGCGUGAACGAUGAAGUCUUAGGAUCGUAAGUUCUUUUAUGCGGGAGAUAAAAUGACGGUACCGCAUGAUAAGCCCCGGCUAACUACGUGCCAGCAGCGCGGUAAUACGUAGGGGCGAGCGUUGUCCGGAAUUACUGGGCGUAAAGGGCGCGCAGCUGUUCUGCAAGUCAGCUGUUAAAUGUACGGCUUACUGUAUUAUGCAGUUGAACUACGGACUGG